GACUCUGUGGUGUAGUUCUAAAACACGCCUCCCCGGUAUGGGUAAAACGCGGGUUCGAUUCCCGCCUGAUGCCG